rnacentral:misc_RNA from 1 species
UGCAGGCCAGCAAUAGCCAUUAGUUCAAAUUCCAAACAAACAAUCAAAACCUCCCAACCAUCUGCUUAAAAUGCAUUAAAAAACGCAUUUAUUUACAGUAAAUUCAUGCAGACGAGUGUUUACAAAUUAGAUCACUGUAUUAAUUAGUUUAUAAGGAGAGAUCAAGAACCCUCCAAACGAUGAUCUCCAUCACUGUCAACCUUCAAUGUGAAGCCAAAGGAAGGCAAUCCAAUACAAACAUCAAAGGAACCAGCAUUAAACUUUUCAAUCCUUCACAAGAAAACUCUCCAGAAGCAGUCUCAUUCCUGCAUCAAAUAAAAAAAUAUCACUCUCUCUACUCUUAAACAGACUACUUGCUAAAAAAAAGUUUUAAGAAGAUAAAGCAAAAAAUUUCGAUACCAAAAUAACAGGUUUCAUAAAGAAACUACCUAAACCCAAACCUCAACAGCACAAUAACCACAGGCUCAUUCAAUUGCUAAAUUCGCUGUUUGGUUACAAGGAACAAUAAGAAAAAUAAAAGAAAUUGAAUUCAAAUAACAGAGUCUCCAUCAUGUGGCAGGGAGAUGCAGUAGCCUCAUCGACUCAGGUGAGUCCAACACAAAAUAUAUGAAUCUAUUCAAUUCCCAAUCCCUCUGGUCUCCGUUUGGUCGCUGAGAAAAUGCAAGAAAAGGUGAGAAAGCGAAACUUUAUACCUCACAUUUUCCAUUACUCGCAAAACAAUACUUAACGACCUCCAAUUUAACAAUCUCAUAUUAAGCUGCUGAAUUCCAAAAAUCCAAAACAAUUUAUUUCCCAUCCUUUUCCUCACCUUUCUCAGC